rnacentral:rRNA from 1 species
UACGUAGGGACCAAGCGUUGUCCGGAAUCAUUGGGCGUAAAGAGCGUGUAGGCGGCUUGUUAAGUCUUGCGUGAAAUCUCGGGGCUCAACCCCGAGCGGUCGUGAGAAACUGGCAGGCUAGAGUGCGGGAGAGGAGAGUGGAAUUCCUGGUGUAGCGGUGAAAUGCGCAGAUAUCAGGAAGAACACCCGGUGGCGAAGGCGGCUCUCUGGAACGCAACUGACGCUGAGACGCGAAAGCGUGGGGAGCAAACAGG